rnacentral:rRNA from 1 species
GACGGGGGAUGCGAGCGUUAUCCGGAAUGAUUGGGCGUAAAGGGUGCGCAGGCGGCUCCGCAUGUCGGGCGUGAAAUCCCCGGGCUUAACCUGGGAAUUGCGUCCGAAACUAUGGAGCUGGAGUGUGGCAGAGGGAGGUGGAAUUCCACGUGUAGCGGUGAAAUGCGUAGAGAUGUGGAGGAACACCGAUGGCGAAGGCAGCCUCCUGGGCCAACACUGACGCUCAUGCACGAAAGCGUGGGGAGCAAACAGG